AGCAGCCGCGGUAAUUCCAGCUCCAAUAGCGUAUAUUAAAGUUGUUGCAGUUAAAAAGCUCGUAGUUGAAUUUCGAGACCGGUUUACUGGUCGUGCUUUUGUACGUACUGGUAUAAUCGGUUUCUCUUUUCUGACGAACUAUAAUGCCAUUAAUUUGGUGUUAUAGGGAAUCAGGACUGUUACUUUGAAAAAUUAGAGUGUUUAAAGCAGGCUCACGCUUGAAUACAUUAGCAUGGAAUAACGAAAUAGGACGUUUGAUUUUAUUUUGUUGGUUUCUAGGAUCGACGUAAUGAUUAAUAGGGAUAGUUGGGGGCAUUAGUAUUCAAUUGUCAGAGGUGAAAUUCUUGGAUUUAUUGAAGACUAACUACUGCGAAAGCAUUUGCCAAGGAUGUUUUCAUUAAUCAAGAACGAAAGUUAGGGGAUCGAAGACGAUCAGAUACCGUCGUAGUCUUAACCAUAAACAAUGCCGACUAGGGAUCGGAUGAUGUUAAUAUUAAUGACUCAUUCGGCACCUUACGGG
rnacentral:rRNA from 1 species